rnacentral:rRNA from 1 species
ACCCGCUGAACUUAAGCAUAUCAAUAAGCGCAGGAAAAGAAACCAACAGGGAUUACCUCAGUAACGGCGAGUGAAGCGGUAAUAGCUCAAAUUUGAAAUCUGGCCUCUUGGGGUCCGAGUUGUAAUUUGUAGAGGAUGUUUUGGGUACCGCCCCGGUUUAAAUUUCUUGGAACAGAAUGUCAAAGAGGGUGAGAAUCCCGUCUUGGACCGGUGGUAGGGCCUGUGUAAAACUCCUUCGACGAGUCGAGUUGUUUGGGAAUGCAGCUCAAAAUGGGUGGUAAAUUUCAUCUAAAGCUAAAUAUUGGCCAGAGACCGAUAGCGCACAAGUAGAGUGAUCGAAAGAUGAAAAGCACUUUGAAAAGAGAGUUAAACAGUAUGUGAAAUUGUUGAAAGGGAAGCGCUUGCAAUCAGACUUGAGCGCGGCGGUUCCCCUGACCUUUUGGUUAGGCUAUUCCGUCGUGUCCAGGCCAACAUCGGUUCUGAGGGUCGGUCAAAGGCCUUGGGAAUGUAUCUACCCACGGGUAGACUUAUAGACCAGGGUGUCAUGCGACCUCUCGGGACCGAGGAACGCGCUUCGGCUCGGAUGUUGGCGUAAUGGUUGUCAGCGACCCGUCUUGAAACACGG